ACUAAGGAGAAAAAAUGACUGCUGUGCUGAACCCAGGACAAGAUUAUAACUACCUUAGAUACCCAGAGAGGAUAUAUAUGCAUAAUUACUGCAACAGAGAGUAUUACCAUGGUGAUUCCACAAGACUUACAGGGAAGAUCCUCAGGAAUGUACCAAGUCCAGAAGUAUUUACCUCAGCCAAGAGUGAGUAGUGAUAUUCACACAAGUCCUUGCUCCUGUUCUGAGGAGGUGAUGGCACACUGGGUGAUACUGCUUUCUCAGCAGGAUUUUCAAUACAAGAACACGUGAAGAUUUUGUGCUCACACAUUCAUUUAAACUGGCACAUCUCUGCAUUUCCAAGCUGUGAUUGCAAAUUCUUCCUGAUAAAGAAGGUUCACGAAAUGCAAUGACAUGAUUCAGGAGGUGGCAGAACUGUGGAAAAACCUUACUGCAAUACAUUCUGAAACUGACCCUCUCCAGUUCAUCUCAGCAAUGGACUACUCCUACAUGGUGUCCUCUCCUUACGGCACAAGAGGAA